GGGGAAGCACUGUCAAGUCCACCUCUUUGCUCAAGGUCUGAAUGGGACUUGCGGGGGCUGACGGCUGAGUCCUCCCUUUCGUCCUUCCCACAGGGAGGGGGAAGCUUGGCCCAGCUCCCCCAGCCCGGUGUUACCGACUUUUCCCCCAUCAGGUGGAUCAAGCGCGGCCCCUCGCAAGCCUUAAAAGGAGCAGCGGGCGGUGGCUCUCCGCCGCGACCCUGGAGGGAGGCCUUGCGGGUCGACGCGGCGGCUUGCAGCGGGCGCGGCUCCGAGCAUGCGCGGCGGCUGUGUGCCCGCCCGCUCGGCACCGCCCUCGGGCUCGGUCCUCCUCCCGCCGCGGCCUGUAGGCUCCCGGAGCAUCCGGGGCUGAUCGCGGAGGAGUGAAAUUUAGCAGAGGUAUCUAAUGAAGAGGAAUCUGAACAUACCAGCUGAGAAAGGAAAAGGAUUGGGAGAAGACCCCAGAUGUCAUAAGGCAAAGAGAGAAUGAGGCCUUCUCCAUGUGGAGUCAGAGGAGACCCUCCUACACCAGAGGGAAAGAUCUCAGGCUUUUUAAGUUAUUUUCCAUCUUGCCACCUACAAAUCUGAAAUCUAAAGUAAUUGGAUCUCCUUUUAAUCAACAACAAAGGAUGCCUGUACUACAGCUGUUUUUCAUGCAUAUCAUUUUUGAAAAAUUUUUAUUGUUGUGGUGGUGAUGGUAUUUUUUUAAGAGGGAAAAUUAUAAAAAUGACACCGAUUAAGGGUAGAAAAUUUCAAAAUAGGCAGCACUAAAAAGAAGUACAUUGAAUUUCAACAUUUACUAUCUACAGCCCAAAAUUAAAUACUUUUUUGUUGUUGUUGUUGUAUCUGUGGCAUGCAGAAGUUCCCAAGCCAGGGAUGGAACCCACGCCACAGCUUUAAUCAGAGCCACAGCAGUAAUAACACCAUAUCCUUAACCCAUUGAGCCACAAGGGAACUCCCAAAGUUAAGUACUUUUAAUGCUGUUUUGUAUGUUCUUCCAACCUCUUUUCAUCUGUGUACCUUUUUUCCCCCAUAAUUGAAGUGAUAAUGUAUGUACUCAUUUGUAUUAUUUAUAAUGGCUAGGUAAUAGUCUAUUACAUAAAAAUACUACACAUUAAUUAUAACUUUUGGUCAUUCAGGUUGUUUUUAGUUUUUAUUAUCUCACAAAGUUGAGGUGACCAUGUAUGUGCUCAAAUGUUUUUAUGUAUUUUGGAUUAUGCCCUUAGUCAAGUUCCCUUAAAGCAGAAUUAUGGAGGAAAAAGUCCUUGUUGCAUAUUGAUAUUUAGGCAGAUAUGCUCUUUUCCUUCCCUCUUCCCUUCUUCCUGUUUAUCACUCAGCAAUAUCCACAAUAGUAGUUGCUUUUCUUCUGUGCUUUAUUUUAUACCCUUCAGGAUCUUGGAUUUUUCUCUAGUUUGUCUUUCAGUUGCAAGGUGCUUUGCACAAAACUGACAGCCAACACAAUGGGUCCCCUGUGUAUUUCAACAUUAGUCCCAACUAGAGAAAGAAAGAAAAGCUCAAGGUUCACAUUUUAUCUGUCUUGCUUCCUAAACACUUCUCUUUCCAACUACCUUUAACAACAGAGAUACAAAUCUUAUUUCAUCUUAUUUAACCCUCAUAACAAUUACAUUAAAUCUGUCUUAUCUUUGUUUUAUAGCUGCAGAAAUUGAGGCACAGAGUUUAAAUAACUUGUCAAAGGUCAUAUAUUAAAUAGUAGAUUCAAGAUUUCAAUCCAGGUUUAUCUAACUUCAAAAUUCUUUCUAUGAUACCACUGUUCCUUCAUAGUUAAAAGAAAACUGAGCAAAUGUCCAGUGGAUUAAAUUCUCAAAUAAUUAUAUAGGGCAGGAAAACUUUUAGAUUCUGUGUCUAGGGCCUGUGAAUUAAACACAUAGGUGGGAAGACAUACAAAUUUUGUUUGAUGUUAAUUUUUUUUUAAUUUUAUUACCACACCUAUGGCAUAUUGAAGUUCUUGGGCGAGGGACUGAAUCCAAGCCACAGCUGCAAUUCACGUGGCAGAUGCAGCAAUGCCAGAUUGUUUAACCCACUGCUCCUGGCUGGGGAUCACACCCACACCUUCAUAGCAACCCAAACUGCUUCAGUCAGACUCUUAACCCCCGGGGCCUCAGCAGGAAUUCCUUGAUGUUAAUAUUUAACUUUUUCACGUGCAUGGAGGCCUUCAUAUAUAAUGAGUAUCCAAAGAAGCAGUUAAAUGUAGGGGGUUAUAUACCAUCUUAACAAAGGGUGAUAAGUUAUGGAGAAAUAAUUAGACAAAGUAAAAGGGGCUCGUGUGGGUGGUUAACUAUGGGAAAGUAAAUAUAUGGGGCACAGUAAUGGAAGACAGGGUUAUUUAGUGAGGCUUCAUUUAUGAAGACUCAUCUUGGUACCAUCUCCAUCUCCUGUGAUAAACAUUGUUUUUCCCUUCCUGGUACAAGAGAGGGUGACACCUGCACAAAGGGAAGGUUGUGUUCUGCUUUCAGGCAGGAGUGGGGAGAGCAGAGAGUUUUUCUUGCACCUGCUGUUUCUCAGUUGCUUUUAGCUCAAAACAAUCGUUACACCAAAGUGGCAUAUUUUUGGGUGGCAUAUUCUGAUCCUCUUCACUUUACCUCUGCCACUUGAUGUGAUUGGCUAAAUAACUAAAAUCUAGCUUUCCUUAAUUCAUUGUUUCCCUCUAUUAUAUUUUACUCAUGUUCAGGCCACUUAUUCUUUCAGUUUUUCCUUUAGCCUUGGCUCCACACUGUACAAUUGAAAUUUUCAUUAGGUAGCACAAAAUGAUGUUCUAAAAAGAUUGCUGUUAAUUAAUAAAAGCAUUGCUGAUUUUGGUGCUGUUUUUAAAUUAAGAAAAUUGAACAAAAUCGCAUUUGUAUUCUGUUUUAACAAUAAAUGUAGUCUGAAUCAAAA
rnacentral:lncRNA from 1 species